rnacentral:miRNA from 1 species
AGGUGGGAGGAUGGCUUGAGCCUGGGAGGUGGAGGUUGCAGUGAGCUGAGAUCUUACCACUGCACUCCAGCCUGGUCAAUAGAGCCAGACCCUGUCUC